rnacentral:lncRNA from 1 species
UUGAAAGAGCCGGUUGAGGAUAAAAGUAACUAAGUGCAUUCAAGUUGUUAAAAUCUCGAAAUAUGCCGGUUGGGGCGUGAUGGCCAGUCAUCGCAGGUCCACUUGAAUUCAUUGAUGCGAUGACUUUAGCACAGGCGUGGACUCUUCUGUAUCCAUUAUCUACUUAUAAGGUCCACUUGAAUUUGCUGAUGCAAUGACUUUAGCACAGGACCUUAGGUAUACUUGGGAGCUUGCACAGGGAGGAG